UGGGGAAUCUUGCACAAUGGGCGAAAGCCUGAUGCAGCGACGCCGCGUGGGGGAUGAAGCUUCUCGGAGUGUAAACCCCUUUCGACCCGGACGAAUGCCCCGCAAGGGGACUGACGGUACGGGUAUAAGAAGCCCCGGCUAACUACGUGCCAGCAGCCGCGGUAAGACGUAGGGGGCCAGCGUUGCUCGGAAUUACUGGGUGUAAAGGGUUCGUAGGCGGUGUGGCAAGUCGGGAGUGAAAUCUCUGGGCUCAACCCAGAGUCUGCUUCCGAAACUGCUGUGCUUGAGUGUGGGAGAGGCGCGUGGAAUUGCAGGUGUAGCGGUGAAAUGCGUAGAUAUCUGCAGGAACACCCGUGGCGAAAGCGGCGCGCUGGACCACUACUGACGCUGAGGAACGAAAGCUAGGGGAGCAAACAG
rnacentral:rRNA from 1 species